rnacentral:lncRNA from 1 species
CCUUCCGUCAAACAACAUCUCAGAUGAGUUAUGGACAUAAAAAUAUGUCAAACUCAAUUGCUUAUCUAUAUGUAUCUUGAUCAAAAGAUGAUGAUUUAGUUGAUAAUAUAUUAGAAACUCUUUUUUAAUAAUCAUCCUGUUUUAACCAAAGACUUCUAGAAUCAUCGAUCUAUGAGAUCACAUAAGAUGUUCGCUCUCCUUAUUAGGAGUGACUGAUCCCUUAUUGAUCACUCACAACCUCCAUGCAUACUUCACCACAUCUAGAAUACCCCAUACAAGGAUCAGAGAAUUAAGUUAGAAAGUGAAUCAAAAUAUGGAUUCAUGUACACAAGAUAUCAUGGCGAUCUCAGGUCAAAGGAUCACUUACACAACUCUCACUAAAGAAUCAUCAACUGACAUGUGAAUAAGACUCCAUCAGAUAUUCUCUCAUAAAUUUAUUCAGUGAACUCAUUCUCUAAUGAACACCCAUAUCCUUGUAUUAGUGUCACUAUACAAGUAGUUGUGAGAUCAACCACCCUCAUCUCUGAGCAUACAUAGGACAUGCUAGUCUUACCGGUAUCAUUGAUCCCUGACUCAACGAAUCAAUAACUGUGAAUAUUUUAGGUUAUGGCUAUCAAGAUUUUAGAUCUCACUAGUGUAAUCUCAUCACGGCUCUAAAAUCAUUGCCUAGACCUAUGGGGUUCAUUAUAAUCUUAAAACAAUAAGAUGCAGUAUAUAAUGAAUUAAAAAUAUUUAUUUUAUUAAUAAUAUUAAUAUCAAUUACAUGAGUCUGGAAGAUAAAUUAUAAAAAAUAUCGUAUCGC